ACGGCUUAAAAGAGGCGCGACAUUUGUUUUGUAACUCAACUUCUCAUGUUAUUGCAGAAGUGGCACGCCUGAAGUCAAACAGGAAAGAAUAGCAGGAAUCUACUUUAUGGAGAUCCUAAGAGGCUUACACUAUAGGGGAGUGCAAGCCUGAAUCCAGCAUUCUCUGUUGAUUCUUUCAGAAGCAGUUUUUUCCUGCCACAUCGUUGAAUGCUGAUUUUCGUUGCUACACCAGUCAAUGGAGACAUGACUUCUGUCCAGAUUACCAAAGCCUCGGAUGGCUCAAGCAGAACGUCCCUAGAGUCUUAAUCAUGGCUUUAACUGCAACAUAAGCUGUCGAUUUUGGUAAGGUGACAUUCACACAUCCGAAGGUUCUGCUACAAUUGAUUAGACGAAAUCAAGACUUAUUUCUUUCUCAAAAGAUGGUGAGCUUCUGACCGCCUCUAGGCAGAGGCUGGACUUGGCGUGCAAGAUGAUCCCAAACACCUCGCUCAUGUCCAGUGUCUCCGGGCCUGCCCCGGCCGGAAUCGCCC